rnacentral:rRNA from 1 species
GACGAACGCUGGCGGCGUGCCUAAUACAUGCAAGUAGAACGCUGAAGGAGGAGCUUGCUUCUCUGGAUGAGUUGCGAACGGGUGAGUAACGCGUAGGUAACCUGCCUGGUAGCGGGGGAUAACUAUUGGAAACGAUAGCUAAUACCGCAUAAUAGCAGUUAUUGCAUGAUAACUGUUUGAAAGGUGCAAUUGCACCACUACCAGAUGGACCUGCGUUGUAUUAGCUAGUUGGUGGGGUAACGGCUCACCAAGGCGACGAUACAUAGCCGACCUGAGAGGGUGAUCGGCCACACUGGGACUGAGACACGGCCCAGACUCCUACGGGAGGCAGCAGUAGGGAAUCUUCGGCAAUGGACGGAAGUCUGACCGAGCAACGCCGCGUGAGUGAAGAAGGUUUUCGGAUCGUAAAGCUCUGUUGUAAGAGAAGAACGAGUGUGAGAGGGAAAGUUCAC